GCAAUGGACGAAAGUCUGACCGAGCAACGCCGCGUGAGUGAAGAAGGUUUUCGGAUCGUAAAGCUCUGUUGUAAGUCAAGAACGUGUGUGAGAGUGGAAAGUUCACACAGUGACGGUAGCUUACCAGAAAGGGACGGCUAACUACGUGCCAGCAGCCGCGGUAAUACGUAGGUCCCGAGACGUUGUCCGGAUUUAUUGGGCGUAAAGGGAGCGCAGGCGGUCAGGAAAGUCUGGAGUAAAAGGCUAUGGCUCAACCAUAGUGUGCUCUGGAAACUGUCUGACUUGAGUGCAGAAGGGGAGAGUGGAAUUCCAUGUGUAGCGGUGAAAUGCGUAGAUAUAUGGAGGAACACCAGUGGCGAAAGCGGCUCUCUGGUCUGUCACUGACGCUGAGGCUCGAAAGCGUGGGUAGCGAACAGGAUUAGAUACCCCUGGGUAGUCCACGCCGUAAACGAUGAGUGCUAGGUGUUAGGCCCUUUCCCGGG
rnacentral:rRNA from 1 species